UACGUAGGGGGCAAGCGUUGUCCGGAAUCAUUGGGCGUAAAGAGCGUGUAGGCGGCCAGAUAAGUCCGGUGUGAAAGUCACAGGCUCAGCCUGGGAAUGCCGGUGGAAACUGUCUGGCUAGAGUCCGGAAGGGGCGAGUGGAAUUCCUGGUGUAGCGGUGAAAUGCGCAGAUAUCAGGAGGAACACCAAUGGCGAAGGCAGCUCGCUGGAACGGGACUGACGCUGAGGCGCGAAAGCGUGGGGAGCGAACAGG
rnacentral:rRNA from 1 species